UUUCACGAGUGAGAUUCUACCGCUUGCUGCCUUCCCUCCCGAACGAACUCAGCUUCCCUCUCGCGCAAAACGUUCACGUUGCCGCCUCCUUGUCGCCGCAGCUUCCUUCGCACAGUUGCUUCUUUGCUGCCGUUGCUUCCUUGCCACCACUUCCCUGCGCGAAGAGUUCAGCCUAAAGCCCAAGUCUUCGUCUCAACGAACCCAAUUUCUUGCUUUCGUUUUUUGCAUUUCAGAGGUUCGUAUUUUAGGGUCCAGAGUUUCUCCAUCUUCUUGCUGACUGCUCAGCCUCAUUCCUUGGCUUCAGCACCCCAUUCCCAUCAACAACGGUCAUUGACAACGAUUUGUAGAACAAAUGCUCGAAAUGUCAAGUAUAUAUGCAGAGGUUGUUUUCUUCUACUUAUAAAACUUAUAUAAAGUUAUUUAAUAGUUUCAAUAAUUAUUAAAUGUCCCAUUUGUGAGUGUAAUCAAGCCAAUUGUUCAUGAUCUCAUAGAUUUCCACACUUCGAUUAGGUGAAUGUAGUGUAGUAUUAUUUGAUCGUCAUUUAUUCGACCCAGUCUUCUAGAUGUGGUUUGUACUGGUCUUCUUGACCCUUAUGGCAAUUAUGUUUUUUUUAAGCUACCAACCCUUAGCUAGUUAACAACUUCUUUCAUUUUCUACAUCAGGGAAGAAAAACAAACAAUAAAAAACAUGGAUUGACCCUCAAGUAAAGUGUUUUAGAUUAGUCUCUAACAGUAGGAACUAUGGAUUGCGGACUAGCUUCAAACUUCUUCCAGUGAAGACUUAAGCUCUUUUUAAGAUUUAGGUAGUAAAUAUUUGUUCAAAUCUAAUUCGGAAGUGUUUAAUGUUGUUUUGGGUGAGGAACAUUCCUUCUAAACAAUCUUUGGAACUUUGAAAAUAGUUUCAAACUAAGUUUUGAUUUUAGGAACUUGUUUCAAGUCUUUCAAAUAAUUGAGUAGUGCUUUGGAAGUUUCGUAAAUGUUGUUAACAUAUUUUAUUUAUCAAUAAAAAUAUUGUUGAGUUUUUUAUUUAAUAAAUUACUAUUGAUAUUGCAUCUUUCUAUGAAAAUCCAAUAAACGAAUCCAGGACUAUAA